rnacentral:rRNA from 1 species
UACGUAGGGUGCGAGCGUUGUCCGGAAUUAUUGGGCGUAAAGGGCUCGUAGGCGGUUUGUCGCGUCGGGAGUGAAAACCCAGGGCUUAACCCUGGGCUGGCUUCCGAUACGGGCAGACUAGAGGUAUGCAGGGGAGAACGGAAUUCCUGGUGUAGCGGUGAAAUGCGCAGAUAUCAGGAGGAACACCGGUGGCGAAGGCGGGUCUCUGGGCCGAUAUUGACGCUGAGGAGCGAAAGCGUGGGGAGCGAACAGG